rnacentral:lncRNA from 1 species
GCACAAUGGCACCAGAUCUUAUUUACCAGUACAAGAUAUGUCUAACAGCGGCGGCAAGCCAGCAACUAAUAUUCGGUUAUUUCAUACACGAUAGUGCAUAUGUGCAUUCUGUCGCCAUUAUUUUUCGAUGGCGAUUUCCUCUCAGCGACAAUGUGCAUAUGGUGGUAGAGCUCCUAAAGAAAGGUUAAGAAGAGGUUGGAGGCCUAACUCAUUUUGGCAGGAUACUACUGUCCAUACUAACAUUCGUGAGAUAUAACAGCUUGAACCAACAAAAAAAAACAAUAUGAUCAUGUCAUCCUGAACCCAAACUCUCUGCAACAUCUGCCGAACGUUCAUGUCAUCCUGAACCCAAACUCUCUGCAACAUCUGCCAAACGUUCAUGUCCAACUAACAUUGAUCAUUCCUGUAUUAUAACUCCAAGAAAUGAACGAGGCCGUCGAGGCCUGCCACUAUACACAUAGAUCGAAUUUUCAAUCAAUAGCAAACAGAAGGCCAAUAUGACCACACAAAUUCCAUACAUACUCUGGGUAUUAUCGAAAUGGAUUAGUCAUGUUACUACUAAACAAUACAACUUGAUUCCAACAGGAAAGGAAUAUGAGACAAGUUGAUCAAACCUACUAAUUUAUAUUUGAACAAGACAGCAAUAUUCACCUAUAUCAGAAGCAAGACUUCGCUCGGGAUACCCUGACAAGAUCACGCACAUCAAAUUGACAAGUAUUAAAAACAAACACCAGGAAGAGAUAAACAGUAAGGGGGCAAAAAUGCAACAGACGUCAGUUUGAUGC